rnacentral:misc_RNA from 1 species
AAAGUCGUAACAAGGUUUCCGUAGGUGAACCUGCGGAAGGAUCAUUACCAAAAGAAAAAAAACCCCCCCUUUUGAAAAUUUUCGAGUACUUGUUGGAGUUUUUACUUCAGAAAAAGGCUCGAUUAUUUUCUUCGACACCUUGUGAACUCAAUGUAUUGUCCUUGGGGGUUGGUCGGGAGAAAUCCUCAAAAACCCCCAAAAGUUUUUCCUUGAUUCGUCUUUGGACGAGGAUAGGCAACGACUUAUAUAACCAAACACAAUCUCAACCAUUGAUGGAAACUUUUUUGAUGAAAAUCAUAAACAACUUUUAACGGUGGAUCUCUUGGCUCGU